GUGCUUGCUUCGGCAGCACAUAUACUAAAACUGGAACGAUACCGAGAAGGUGAGCAUGGCCCUACGCAAGGCUGACAUGCAAAUUCCAUAUUUUUGAAAUACUGUA
ensembl:snRNA U6 U6 spliceosomal RNA